rnacentral:rRNA from 1 species
GAUGAACGCUGGCGGCGUGCCUAAUACAUGCAAGUCGAGCGAACAGACGAGGAGCUUGCUCCUCUGACGUUAGCGGCGGACGGGUGAGUAACACGUGGAUAACCUACCUAUAAGACUGGGAUAACUUCGGGAAACCGGAGCUAAUACCGGAUAAUAUAUUGAACCGCAUGGUUCAAUAGUGAGAGACGGUUUUGCUGUCACUUAUAGAUGGAUCCGCGCCGCAUUAGCUAGUUGGUAAGGUAACGGCUUACCAAGGCAACGAUGCGUAGCCGACCUGAGAGGGUGAUCGGCCACACUGGAACUGAGACACGGUCCAGACUCCUACGGGAGGCAGCAGUAGGGAAGCUUCCGCAAUGGGCGAAAGCCUGACGGAGCAACGCCGCGUGAGUGAUGAAGGUCUUCGGAUCGUAAAACUCUGUUAUUAGGGAAGAACAAAUGUGUAAGUAACUAUGCACGUCUUGACGGUACCUAAUCAGAAAGCCACGGCUAACUACGUG